GACGAACGCUGGCGGCGUGCUUAACACAUGCAAGUCGAACGGAAAGGCCCUGCUUUUGUGGGGUGCUCGAGUGGCGAACGGGUGAGUAACACGUGAGUAACCUGCCCUUGACUUUGGGAUAACUUCAGGAAACUGGGGCUAAUACCGGAUAGGAGCUCCUGCUGCAUGGUGGGGGUUGGAAAGUUUCGGCGGUUGGGGAUGGACUCGCGGCUUAUCAGCUUGUUGGUGGGGUAGUGGCUUACCAAGGCUUUGACGGGUAGCCGGCCUGAGAGGGUGACCGGCCACAUUGGGACUGAGAGACGGCCCAGACUCCUACGGGAGGCAGCAGUGGGGAAUAUUGCACAAUGGGCGGAAGCCUGAUGCAGCAACGCCGCGUGCGGGAUGACGGCCUUCGGGGUGUAAAACGCUUUCGCCUGAGACGAAGCGUGAGUGACGGUAAUGGGUAAAGAAGCACCGGCUAACUACGUG
rnacentral:rRNA from 1 species